rnacentral:rRNA from 1 species
GACGAACGCUGGCGGCGUGCCUAAUACAUGCAAGUAGAACGCAGUUGCGAACGGGUGAGUAACGCGUAGGUAACUGCCUCAUCGCGGGGGAUAACUAUUGGAAACGAUAGCUAAUACCGCAUCCUGUGAGAUUGACCUGCGUUUUAUUAGCUAGUUGGUGCGGUAAAGGUUCACCAAGGCGACGAUACAUAGCCGACCUGAGAGGGUGAUCGGCAACACGGGGACUGUGAACCGGCUCAGACUCCUACGGGAGGCAGCAGUAGGGAAUCUUCGGCAAUGGACGGAAGUCUGACCGAGCAACGCCGCGUGAGUGAAGAAGGUUUUCGGAUCGUAAAGCUCUGUUGUGAGAGAUGCGGUAACUAACCAGAAAGGGACGGCUAACUACGUGCCAGCCGCCGCGGUAAUUC